ensembl:misc_RNA
CUGACAGCCUAUGAGACUGAAGUUCUCUGUCUCGCCACAGAACAGGAACAGUUUAGGCAGCAGCAGUGCUGAUUUCCUCAUACUGCCUUCCAACAUGCCUCACAUCUGACCAGGAAGUGGCCACCUAGAAGGGUGAGAAUUGAAAAUAGUUAAUUUUCCAUAAUCAGUUACGAUGUGGCUUUU